rnacentral:rRNA from 1 species
AUUAGCGGAUGACUUGUGGCUGGGGGUGAAAGGCCAAUCAAACCGGGAGAUAGCUGGUUCUCCCCGAAAGCUAUUUAGGUAGCGCCUCGUGAAUUCAUCUCCGGGGGUAGAGCACUGUUUCGGCAAGGGGGUCAUCCCGACUUACCAACCCGAUGCAAACUGCGAAUACCGGAGAAUGUUAUCACGGGAGACACACGGCGGGUGCUAACGUCCGUCGUGAAGAGGGAAACAACCCAGACCGCCAGCUAAGGUCCCAAAGUCAUGGUUAAGUGGGAAACGAUGUGGGAAGGCCCAGACAGCCAGGAUGUUGGCUUAGAAGCAGCCAUCAUUUAAAGAAAGCGUAAUAGCUCACUGGUCGAGUCGGCCUGCGCGGAAGAUGUAACGGGGCUAAACCAUGCACCGAAGCUGCGGCAGCGACACUAUGUGUUGUUGGGUAGGGGAGCGUUCUGUAAGCCUGUGAAGGUGUACUGUGAGGUAUGCUGGAGGUAUCAGAAGUGCGAAUGCUGACAUAAGUAACGAUAAAGCGGGUGAAAAGCCCGCUCGCCGGAAGACCAAGGGUUCCUGUCCAACGUUAAUCGGGGCAGGGUGAGUCGACCCCUAAGGCGAGGCCGAAAGGCGUAGUCGAUGGGAAACAGGUUAAUAUUCCUGUACUUGGUGUUACUGCGAAGGGGGGACGGAGAAGGCUAUGUUGGCCGGGCGACGGUUGUCCCGGUUUAAGCGUGUAGGCUGGUUUUCCAGGCAAAUCCGGAAAACUAAGGCUGAGGCGUGAUGACGAGGCACUACGGUGCUGAAGCAACAAAUGCCCUGCUUCCAGGAAAAGCCUCUAAGCAUCAGGUAACAUCAAAUCGUACCCCAAACCGACACAGGUGGUCAGGUAGAGAAUACCAAGGCGCUUGAGAGAACUCGGGUGAAGGAACUAGGCAAAAUGGUGCCGUAACUUCGGGAGAAGGCACGCUGAUAUGUAGGUGAAGUCCCUCGCGGAUGGAGCUGAAAUCAGUCGAAGAUACCAGCUGGCUGCAACUGUUUAUUAAAAACACAGCACUGUGCAAACACGAAAGUGGACGUAUACGGUGUGACGCCUGCCCGGUGCCGGAAGGUUAAUUGAUGGGGUCAGCGCAAGCGAAGCUCUUGAUCGAAGCCCCGGUAAACGGCGGCCGUAACUAUAACGGUCCUAAGGUAGCGAAAUUCCUUGUCGGGUAAGUUCCGACCUGCACGAAUGGCGUAAUGAUGGCCAGGCUGUCUCCACCCGAGACUCAGUGAAAUUGAACUCGCUGUGAAGAUGCAGUGUACCCGCGGCAAGACGGAAAGACCCCGUGAACCUUUACUAUAGCUUGACACUGAACAUUGAGCCUUGAUGUGUAGGAUAGGUGGGAGGCUUUGAAGUGUGGACGCCAGUCUGCAUGGAGCCGACCUUGAAAUACCACCCUUUAAUGUUUGAUGUUCUAACGUUGACCCGUAAUCCGGGUUGCGGACAGUGUCUGGUGGGUAGUUUGACUGGGGCGGUCUCCUCCUAAAGAGUAACGGAGGAGCA